rnacentral:lncRNA from 1 species
AAAGUCUUCAGUUCCAGUUUUAUUUUUGUGUGUUGUUGUUAUUUGUUUGUUUAGAGACAGGGUUUCGCCCUGUUGCCCAGGAUGGAGUGCGGUGGUGUGAUCAUGGCUCAUUGUAACCUUGUACUCCUGGGCUCUAGCAAGCCUCUUGCCUCACCUUCCCGAGUAGCUAGGGCUACAGGCAUACAUCAUCAUGACUGGCUAAUUUUUUUUUGUUUUAUGUAGAGACAAGAUCUUGCUAUGUUGCCCAGGCUGAUCUUGAACUCCUGGCCUCAAGCCAUCCUCCUGCCUUGUCCUCACAAAGGAAUGGAAUUACAGCUAAACUCAUGUAUGAGUUGAAGAGCUGCAAAAGUUGUCAGGAUCAAAAUGGAGUCACUUGUGUAAAAAAAACCCUGACAAACACAGUUGAGGAAGGCCAUGAAGAGAAGGUUCAUGCAUAAAUGACUAAUAACAAAAACUAUCACAAAAGAUUCUACGAAAAACACGACCUUGCACAAAGGCCAUCACAACCUUAUACAAAAAAAAUACUUCUGUGAGGACAUCUGUCCAGCAACUGCCUAUUCAAUCUUGGACUGGAGUCAUCCUGUAUCCUUACAGCCAAGAACAAUAGUCUCAAAACAAUUCUGUAGAGCUGAGCACGGUGGCUGCCUAUAGUCCCAGCUACUUGGGAGGCUGAGGUGGGAGGAUCACUGGAGCCUAGCGGGUCGAGGCUCCGGUGAGCUGUGAUUAGGUCACUGCACUCCAUCCUGUGCCACAGGGUGAGACUUUGUCUUUAAAAAUAAAAUAAAAUGAUGUAACCUUCCUCAUUUUUUUCCUUUAAAAAUCUUUGUCUUCCUUUACCUCCUUAAAUAUGCACAUAGUUUACUAUGAUAAGCACACUUACUCCUAUUGCAAUGUCUAUUCCCUAAGAAAUAUAAUUUUCUUUUAAAGAGCCUCUUUAUGACAGAGCUUUUUUGGGGACGGGGAGAUGGUGG